UACGGAGGGUGCAAACGUUGCUCGGAAUUAUUGGGCGUAAAGCGCACGUAGGCGGCUCUAUAAGUUGGAUGUGAAAACCCUCGGCUCAACCAAGGAAGUGCAUCCAAAACUGCAGAGCUUGAGUACUUAAGAGGAUCGCGGAAUUCCCGGUGUAGAGGUGAAAUUCGUAGAUAUCGGGAGGAACACCAGUGGCGAAGGCGGCGAUCUGGGAAGAUACUGACGCUGAGGUGCGAAAGCGUGGGGAGCAAACAGG
rnacentral:rRNA from 1 species